GACGAACGCUGGCGGCGUGCCUAAUACAUGCAAGUAGAACGCUGAAGGAGGAGCUUGCUUCUCUGGAUGAGUUGCGAACGGGUGAGUAACGCGUAGGUAACCUGCCUGGUAGCGGGGGAUAACUAUUGGAAACGAUAGCUAAUACCGCAUAAUAGUAGAUGUUGCAUGACAUUUACUUAAAAGGUGCAAUUGCAUCACUACCAGAUGGACCUGCGUUGUAUUAGCUAGUUGGUGGGGUAACGGCUCACCAAGGCGACGAUACAUAGCCGACCUGAGAGGGUGAUCGGCCACACUGGGACUGAGACACGGCCCAGACUCCUACGGGAGGCAGCAGUAGGGAAUCUUCGGCAAUGGACGGAAGUCUGACCGAGCAACGCCGCGUGAGUGAAGAAGGUUUUCGGAUCGUAAAGCUCUGUUGUAAGAGAAGAACGAGUGUGAGAGUGGAGAGUUCACACUGUGACGGUAUCUUACCAGAAAGGGACGGCUAACUACGUGC
rnacentral:rRNA from 1 species